rnacentral:rRNA from 1 species
CCUACGGGUGGCAGCAGUGAGGAAUAUUGGUCAAUGGACGAGAGUCUGAACCAGCCAAGUAGCGUGAAGGAUGACUGCCCUAUGGGUUGUAAACUUCUUUUAUAAAGGAAUAAAACGAGGCACGUGUGCCUUUUCGCAUGUACUUUAUGAAUAAGGAUCGGCUAACUCCGUGCCAGCAGCCGCGGUAAUACGGAGGAUCCGAGCGUUAUCCGGAUUUAUUGGGUUUAAAGGGAGCGUAGAUGGGUUGUUAAGUCAGUUGUGAAAGUUUGCGGCUCAACCGUAAAAUUGCAAUUGAUACUGGCAGUCUUGAGUACAGUUGAGGUAGGCGGAAUGCGUGGUGUAGCGGUGAAAUGCAUAGAUAUCACGAAGAACCCCGAUUGCGAAGGCAGCUUACUAAACUGUGACUGACAUUGAUGCUCGAAAGUGUGGGGAUCAAACAGGAUUAGAUACCCUGGUAGUC